GAUGAACGCUGGCGGCGUGCUUAACACAUGCAAGUCGAACGGAAAGGCCAGUGCUUGCACUGGUACUCGAGUGGCGAACGGGUGAGUAACACGUGGGUGAUCUGCCCUGCACUUCGGGAUAAGCCUGGGAAACUGGGUCUAAUACCGGAUAGGACAAUGGUUUGGAUGCCGUUGUGGAAAGUUUUUUCGGUGUGGGAUGAGCUCGCGGCCUAUCAGCUUGUUGGUGGGGUAAUGGCCUACCAAGGCGUCGACGGGUAGCCGGCCUGUGAGGGUGUACGGCCACAUUGGGACUGAGAUACGGCCCAGACUCCUACGGGGGGCAGCAGUGGGGAAUAUUGCACAAUGGGCGCAAGCCUGAUGCAGCGACGCCGCGUGGGGGAUGACGGCCUUCGGGUUGUAAACUCCUUUCGCUAGGGACGAAGCGUAUUUGUGACGGUACCUGGAGAAGAAGCACCGGCUAACUACGUG
rnacentral:rRNA from 1 species